GGAGUUAGCCGGUGCUUCUUCUGUGAGUGAUGUCCUUCCUGCCGGUUAUUGACCCGCAGGCCUUCUUCCUCACUGAAAGUGCUUUACAACCCGAAGGCCUUCUUCACACACGCGGCAUGGCUGGAUCAGGGUUGCCCCCAUUGUCCAAUAUUCCCCACUGCUGCCUCCCGUAGGAGUCUGGGCCGUGUCUCAGUCCCAGUGUGGCUGAUCAUCCUCUCAGACCAGCUACGGAUCGUCGCCUUGGUGAGCCGUUACCUCACCAACCAGCUAAUCCGACAUAGGCUCAUCCGAUAGCGCGAGGCCCGAAGGUCCCCCGCUUUCCCCCGUAGGGCGUAUGCGGUAUUAGCCUGGGUUUCCCCAGGUUAUCCCCCACUACCGGGCAGAUUCCUAUGCAUUACUCACCCGUCCGCCGCUCGCCACCAGGGAGCAAGCUCCCCGUGCUGCCGCUCGACUUGCAUGUGUUAGGCCUGCCGCCAGCGUUCAAUCUGAGCCAGUAAUCGAAACCUCGUACGA
rnacentral:rRNA from 1 species